GCUGGACUCUUUGCUGGUCUUGGAUAGAGCAUGAGACUCUUAAUCUCAGGGUCAUGGGUUUGAGUCCCACAUUGAGCA